AUUGAACGCUGGCGGCAUGCCUUACACAUGCAAGUCGAACGGCAGCACGGAGCUUGCUCUGGUGGCGAGUGGCGAACGGGUGAGUAAUAUAUCGGAACGUACCCUAGAGUGGGGGAUAACGUAGCGAAAGUUACGCUAAUACCGCAUACGAUCUAAGGAUGAAAGUGGGGGAUCGCAAGACCUCAUGCUCGUGGAGCGGCCGAUAUCUGAUUAGCUAGUUGGUAGGGUAAAAGCCUACCAAGGCAUCGAUCAGUAGCUGGUCUGAGAGGACGACCAGCCACACUGGAACUGAGACACGGUCCAGACUCCUACGGGAGGCAGCAGUGGGGAAUUUUGGACAAUGGGCGAAAGCCUGAUCCAGCAAUGCCGCGUGAGUGAAGAAGGCCUUCGGGUUGUAAAGCUCUUUUGUCAGGGAAGAAACGGUGGGAGCUAAUAUCUCUUGCUAAUGACGGUACCUGAAGAAUAAGCACCGGCUAACUACGUGCCAGCAGCCGCGGUAAUACGUAGGGUGCAAGCGUUAAUCGGAAUUACUGGGCGUAAAGCGUGCGCAGGCGGUUUUGUAAGUCUGAUGUGAAAUCCCCGGGCUCAACCUGGGAAUUGCAUUGGAGACUGCAAGGCUAGAAUCUGGCAGAGGGGGGUAGAAUUCCACGUGUAGCAGUGAAAUGCGUAGAUAUGUGGAGGAACACCGAUGGCGAAGGCAGCCCCCUGGGUCAAGAUUGACGCUCAUGCACGAAAGCGUGGGGAGCAAACAGGAUUAGAUACCCUGGUAGUCCACGCCCUAAACGAUGUCUACUAGUUGUCGGGUCUUAAUUGACUUGGUAACGCAGCUAACGCGUGAAGUAGACCGCCUGGGGAGUACGGUCGCAAGAUUAAAACUCAAAGGAAUUGACGGGGACCCGCACAAGCGGUGGAUGAUGUGGAUUAAUUUGAUGCAACGCGAAAAACCUUACCUACCCUUGACAUGGCUGGAAUCCUUGAGAGAUCAGGGAGUGCUCGAAAGAGAACCAGUACACAGGUGCUGCAUGGCUGUCGUCAGCUCGUGUCGUGAGAUGUUGGGUUAAGUCCCGCAACGAGCGCAACCCUUGUCAUUAGUUGCUACGAAAGGGCACUCUAAUGAGACUGCCGGUGACAAACCGGAGGAAGGUGGGGAUGACGUCAAGUCCUCAUGGCCCUUAUGGGUAGGGCUUCACACGUCAUACAAUGGUACAUACAGAGCGCCGCCAACCCGCGAGGGGGAGCUAAUCGCAGAAAGUGUAUCGUAGUCCGGAUUGUAGUCUGCAACUCGACUGCAUGAAGUUGGAAUCGCUAGUAAUCGCGGAUCAGCAUGUCGCGGUGAAUACGUUCCCGGGUCU
rnacentral:rRNA from 1 species